rnacentral:tRNA from 2 species
GCCGAUGUAGCUCAGUGGUAGAGCAGCUGUUUCGUAAACAGCAGGUCGCAGGUUCGAGUCCCGUCAUCGGCUCCA